rnacentral:rRNA from 1 species
UCAAGAAACUUCCACAAUGGGCGAAAGCCUGAUGGAGCGACGUCGCGUGAUGGACGAAGUGCUUCGGCACGUAAACAUCUUUUAUGUGGGAUGAAAUUAUUGACAGUACCACAUGAAUAAGGGGCUCCUAACUCUGUGCCAGCAGGAGCGGUAAUACAGAGGCCCCAAGCGUUAUCCGGAAUCACUGGGCGUAAAGGGUGUCGAGGCGGUUGUAUUAGUCGUUCGUAAAAUCUACGAGCUUAACUUGUAGGCGGCGAACGAAACGGUACGACUUGAGGUUUGGAGAGGUGCGUGGAACUCACGGUGUAGGGGUGAAAUCCGUUGAUAUCGUGGGGAACACCAAAGGCGAAGGCAGCGCACUGGCCAAAAUCUGACGCUCACACACGAAAGCUAGGGUAGCGAAGAGGAUUAGAUACCCGCGUAGUCCCUGAGCGGGCUGGCAAGGCGCAU